UUUGAGUAUUCCAGAGAGAUGGAUGUCAAACACCAGAAUUACCCAGUGCCACGCUCUUCUCCUGGACCAGCCCUGCAUCCAGUUACAUAAAACACUGGCCAUCAACCCUGCCAGCCUGCUUCCAGAUGAUUCAGAGGAACCCAUUCAUGA